UUUUUUUUUUUUUUGCAGGUGACACAAAAUAGACCACACUGCCCUGUCCAACCCCCUGCUGUGACCUACUGGAAACCUGAGUGAUACAAAAUAGACCACAAUGCUCUGUCCAACCAACUGCUGUGACCUACUGGAACCCUUAGGUAAAUAUAUAAUUAACAGUUGCAUGAAAGAAGGAUAGUGUCUUUUGUUCAUCUCUUGAAUGGAGCAUCUCAUUAUGAAAUAUAAGGUACAUUAGGCCGGUAGAUGCAGGGGCCCCCAAAUUAUUGUUCGCCUGGAGCCCCCAAAGGGCUAUGAUCGCCACUGGCAGAAGCAUCAUAUCACAUCAAAUCAUCAUAUCUGCAACGGCCACUGACCAGGCAACACAUGCACGUUGUUAUAAGUUAUUGAAUAUUGAUACGACUGAGAGACAAACUCGUACCCCAUCUUCCUGUGGUUCUAGGUACAACUCGUCCCCGAUCCUCGAAAGGGAAUGAAUGGCCUUGGCAAGUACUGAAACACACACACACACACACACACACACACACACACACACACACACACACACACACACACACACACACACACACACACACACACACACACACACACACACACACACACACACACACACACACACACACACACA